UACGUAGGGUGCAAGCGUUAAUCGGAAUUACUGGGCGUAAAGCGUGCGCAGGCGGUUUUGUAAGUUUGUCGUGAAAUCCCCGGGCUCAACCUGGGAAUGGCGAUGAAGACUGCAAGGCUAGAAUCUGGCAGAGGGGGGGUAGAAUUCCACGUGUAGCAGUGAAAUGCGUAGAGAUGUGGAGGAACACCGAUGGCGAAGGCAGCCUCCUGGGCCAGCACUGACCGCU
rnacentral:rRNA from 1 species